rnacentral:tRNA from 1 species
GGGCCUGUAGCAUAACGGAUAGUGCAAUCGGCUUCGGACCGGUAGAUCGGGGUUCGAAUCCCUGCAGGCUCG